rnacentral:rRNA from 1 species
UACGAAGGGGGCUAGCGUUGCUCGGAUUUACUGGGCGUAAAGGGCGCGUAGGCGGACAGUUAAGUCGGGUGUGAAAUCCCUGGGCUCAACCGAGGAAGUGCAUCCGAAACUAACUAGCUAGAGAAUGGUAGAGGAAGGUGGAAUUCCGUGUGUAGAGGUGAAAUUCGUAGAUAUACGGAGGAAUACCGGUGGCGAAGGCAGCCUUCUGGACCAUUUCUGACGCUGAGACGCGAAAGCGUGGGGAGCAAACAGG